GAUGAACGCUGGCGGCGUGCCUAAUACAUGCAAGUCGAGCGGUAACACUUCGGGUGACGAGCGGCGGACGGCAGAGUAACGCGUAGGAAUGUACCCCAAACUGAGGGAUAACUGCCCGAAAGGGUAGCUAAUACCGCAUGUGAUCUUCGGAUUAAAGCUUUUAGCGGUUUGGGAACGGCCUGCGUAUGAUUAGCUUGUUGGUGAGGUAAUGGCUCACCAAGGCGACGAUCAUUAGCUGGUCUGAGAGGAUGAUCAGCCUGACUGGGACUGAGACACGGCCCAGACUCCUACGGGAGGCAGCAGUAGGGAAUUUUCCACAAUGGGCGAAAGCCUGAUGGAGCAACGCCGCGUGCAGGAUGAAUGCCUUCGGGUUGUAAACUGCUUUUGUUUGUGACGAUUAUGACGGUAACAAGCGAAUAAGGGUCUGCUAACUACGUGCCAGCAGCCGCGGUAA
rnacentral:rRNA from 1 species